UACGUAGGAUGCAAGCGUUGUCCGGAAUUAUUGGGCGUAAAGCGAACGUAGGCGGCUUCUUAAGUUUGGUCUUAAAGACCGGGGCUCAACCCCGGGAAUGGACUGAAUACUGGGAGGCUGGAGGAUGUCAGAGGAAAGUGGAAUUCCCAGUGUAGCGGUGAAAUGCGUAGAUAUUGGGAGGAACACCAGUGGCGAAAGCGGCUUCCUGGACCAGUACCGACGUUCAGGCACGAAAGCGUGGGGAGCAAACAGG
rnacentral:rRNA from 1 species